rnacentral:rRNA from 1 species
GACGAACGCUGGCGGCGUGCCUAACACAUGCAAGUCGAGCGGGAACCUCAGGAGGGGUAACCCUCCUGAGGGGAGAGCGGCGAACGGGUGAGUAACACGUGGGCAACCUGCCCCGGACACCGGGAUAACCCAGGGAAACCUGAGCUAAUACCGGAUACGCCGGCGAGAUCGCCUGGUCGCGCCGGGAAAGCUCCGACGGUCCGGGAUGGGCCCGCGGCCGAUUAGCUAGUUGGCGGGGUAACGGCCCACCAAGGCUCAGAUCGGUAGCCGGCCUGAGAGGGCGCACGGCCACACUGGAACUGAAACACGGUCCAGACUCCUACGGGAGGCAGCAGUGGGGAAUUUUGCGCAAUGGGGGAAACCCCGACGCAGCAACGCCGCGUGGAGGAUGAAGUCCCUUGGGACGUAAACUCCUUUCGACCGGGAAGAUAAUGACGGUACCGGAAGAAGAAGCACCGGCUAACUCUGUGCCAGCCGCCGCCGUAAUAC